rnacentral:lncRNA from 1 species
GUAAUAGUUCUAGUAUCUUCCUAAACUACCCAUAUGGUAGUUUACUAGUAAUCUAACUGGUACGUAUGGACACGGAUGUAUACCCUUUCUACCCAAGGGCAUGGGAUGAACUGGAAGGGCCUUUAUGACUAUAUAUGUACAUAUGUUAUAUAACUAAUAUUUAAACGACCUUCGGACGAGUACCCGAUAUCCCACCAGACCACAUCUCAAGCGCGAAAAGGAAAUAGGGUGGAUAGCCUUCCUAAGUCUUUUAAACAUUUCUUAUAUAACUAUACAUAUAGAGGCAUGCAAUUUAUAAUUUAAAAGCAUAAAAUAAGAUUUGUAAAACCUUUGAACAUAAAUAUUUUCUAAGAAAAGACCGACUUGAUGUCAAUCUAUAAAACGGUUUGAAGGCAUGGGUUUGAUAAAACAAUUUAGUAUAAGGAAACAUUUGUUUGAAUCACAAUUGUAAAUAAGUUUGAAAUAAAACAUACAGAGUAAAAUGUACAGUGUAAUAAGGAGUUUUAAUCAUAUAAAAUGUUUAUAAAAGUCAUUUGAAGGAAAUCUGUUUGGUAAAAUGGCUAAUGAGUAGCCAAUCAUUUGAAUGCUGCUUACUAAUCACAUGUGAUUGAUAUAAUAACUAGCAUAAUUCUACUUAUUAAUCACAUNCCCCCCCCCAUAAAACAUUUAAAAACUGUUAAAACAUUGAUUAGGGGGUAUGAACUCACAUGUAGUAAGUGACUGGAAUUGAAUGGAUUGUUAUCGUAAGGAAGGAUCAGACAAGUGCUUGGUGUCAAGCGAAGACUUUAGACACACACAAUGAUCCUAAUUACAUAUGAAGACAUAUGUAUAUAAAUAAUUAGUUUUUAAAACACUAAUUAUACAAGUAUAAACAUUUUAACGCGAGGAAAACACUUUUGGUCAAGUGCUAGGAGGCUAAUGGGUUGCAACAAAGGAGUGCAAUGCCUCUAAUGGGAGUUUAUGGUCAAAUGACCAUAUGUUUUGGAGUUUACGGCCCAGGGGAGUAAACUCCUGGCCGUAAACUCUCAACAAAGCCCCUAAAUGAAGUCUAACAAUUAUACAACUCAUGUGGUGAAUUGCUUUAAGGCUUAAACAAGUGUUUGGGCUUCCUAUUAACUCUUUUGAGGAGUUUACGGCCCUGGGACCAUAUCCCAUGGAGAUUAUGGCCGUAAUCUCCCUUGAGGGAAGGUUUAUGGUGUUUUCAAGUCUCUAGCACUUCAAGGUUAUGAUCUAUGUUGGGUUCUAGGCAUAUGGAAGGAGUUAGGGUGUCAUUUGACCCCUUUACAGGGGUUUACGGCCCAAGAACUUGUCUUGGCCGUAAACUCCUUAAUACUUGUGCUUCCUUAUGUUUUCUAGGCUUUAAACACUUUAGGGUACAUGUCUAAAAUCAAGUCUAAGCCUUNUUGUGGCAUCAAAACACCCCUAAUAUAGAGUUUUCGGCCCAUGAACCAAUUGGCCAUGUGUUUGCAGCCGUGAACACCCAUAGGUGUUGGUAUUUUGAUUGUUUUGAAUCCUAGACUCAUCAAGGUAAUUUGCUAUUCUAGUCUCUUGGCUCAAUGAAGGCAUUUAGGGUAUUUUGGCAACCAAAAAGGGAGUUCACGGCCCUGGAACAUCCUUGGCCGUGAACUCACUUUCACCAUUGAUUUCAAAUUGUUUUCAUGUCCUAAACAUGCAAUGUAGGCUUCUAGUUUGAGAUCCGAGGCUUUGAGGGACAUUGGGACACUUUUAGCCCUUGAAAUGGAGUUUACUUCCCAAGUGUUCUUGGGCGGUAAACUCCCAAAUCUUGGGGUUUUGGUCCGAUUUGGAUGUUAUAAUACACAAUCUAAGCUAUAUAAUAUAACUAGAUCGAAGUACUCACGAUUUGGGAUAAAAACCCGAAGAUCCGUGAGAGAGAAUUCGGCUUUUCUCUAGUUGGAAAUGCAACUAAUGAACUAUUUUGUUCAGAUUUCUAUAUAUAGUCCUGAGAUUUUUGGCAGAAAAUAUUUUAUUCCCGGAAUGAACUCUAAUGUCAUAGAGUAUUGGAAUAACAGUGUUGCACAAAACCCUAGUGCAUCCACUCUCCUAAUAUCUCCUUAAGUGUAAAAUCCUGAAAACUGCCAAACUUAUACUCGAAGUCUGAGUUUUCACUGUAACUGUUCUACAUCUAUUGGCUUCAAAUGGUUUGUUCAGAAUGGAAAUUUCGAGUUGUCACAUCAUCCCCCUGUUGGAGGGAAUUUCGUCCCGAAAUUAGAAUUUAGGAAAGGAAGUAUGUACGAAUGAUCGAGUCGUGAGGAGUAAACUUCCUAAUCAAAUGGUUCUAGCGUUCCUAAGUGAAAUUGGGUUCUCGGUUGGAAUCCCAACGAACCUUCACUAACUGGCAACAGCGUUGCUUCGUCCGCUUGACCUCUCAGUCGAGGGUCACUACGGUUCUAAUACGAAGGCGAGGAUCUCGACGAGUGGACUUACAAGAGUCCUAACGGAAAGGUAUGGUUUCACGAUCGAGACGCUAAGAGUAGAAUGUACGUUACUGAGUUCGCGGAGUAGGCCUAGUUUGUGCGAGGCACAGGACCGAUUCUGAUAAGAAUCUCGGAGGUCCUAACUAUAUUGGAUUUAGCUUUCCACGCGAUACGAAGCGUAUUAUGCCAUUCCCAGAGUGAGUUCUCCUAAAGAACUUGGUCACUCACUUGGAAUUCCAAAGGUUUCUUUUUCUUGUUUAACUUCCCAGUCAAGGGCCAUCCUUCGCUGGGUCAGAGUCGAAAGAGUUUCUGUGGUUUGUGGGGAGUUAUGAACAAACUAUGACAGUAGGUCGGUAAGACCUAGAAUUUGGCGAAUGUCUGUCGGCAUCUCAGGUGUCGACAAAUUUCUCAACUGUUUUGACAAAUUGUAAGAGUACUCAAAAUUUCCCACAUCACUAACAAUGUGUCAUGGAAAUUCGACUCUUCAAUUUCAAAACUCGUGCCUAGAGAACAUUGCAAGAAAUACCUCUGAGGGUAAUGUUUCCAGGGGCUCCUUCUUAUUACGAGGGUAGAUAAGUAAGUCAUUAUAUGGAGAAAUGAAGAACUGAUCCAAGUAAGAAAGACGUACCCUAUUCAUUUAGCUCCUGAAAACUAUGGGCGUAAUGGUCCUAUCCGAAGGGUAUCACUACGGACUCGAAGUGUCCGCAUCGAGUUUGGAAGAUAGUCGUACGGACAUCUUUCCCCAACACUUGAACUGGCGAUAUUCGGCUCUUAGAUCCAUUCCUGGAAGUAGUUUCUUUCCUUGCGUUUGCUCAACCAUUUCAUCUACGCGAGGCAGAGAUAACGAUUUCAAAUGAAAAUCUUGACAGAGUCCUCGAUAUCCGAGGCACCUAUGAUGCAAUCCGUCGAUCUCUGGGAGAAUAAGACUGGGGUUCUCUAGGGUGAGAAGCCUAGUCUUCUAAUUCUCUUUCUGUGUGGCUUGCUAAGUUGUCUGCACUGUUCUUGUGUCUCCGUAGGUGUUUAGACUAUAGGGAGAUCUGUUUAAAAGGGUCCUACUGGGUUCUAAGUUUGUUCACAUGACGAUGUAAUUACUCGUAGACUUAGGCAGUUCUCCGUCCUGAAGUUCAUAUUAGAAUCCAUAGAUGGUUUCAAAAUCACAAUCUCGUGUACACGAGUCGUAUAUAAUUAAGAUUGAAAAGGUAGUCGAAUAACUGAUUCUUCUUUAAGCUCACAUCCCAUCUAGGGAAAAGAAGUUAAAGUGGAAUCAUCAAUUCUAAACCUGUAGAACCUUGAUUAUAUAUCACUCUUAUGCAUACAUUCCUCAGUGGUAGAUCAACCGCAUGAAUCCCUGGAUUAAACUUGACGUACUGCACGAGUGGUACUUCGGGGGUUUCUUCGGAAAGAAAAUAACUAAGAGGUACUCCUGGCCUGAGUACUUCGGUGUUCUGAUAUGACGGUUUCGCUAAAAAGACGUUUACUGAUAAGGAGAUGUACGUAUGAAGCUGUUUUUGUGAGGAUCAAAUUGAAUCGAGUCGUAUGGUAAUGUCGAAAUCAUACAGAGACUUAUGGACAUUAGCUUUGAACAUAAAACGUUUACAGACAAAAACAACCGUGCAACCAUGAACAAAGUUAUAGUACUUUAGAUUUACUACAAGACUAUUGCUGCGAAUAAGAUAUACUACAAAAGACAAGUAUACGCAGCACGAGUAUCCCUAUACCGACAGGAUCCCGCAAAAGAUAAGACUCUAGUUGCACUAGUCCUGGAUAGUUUAUAAGUCUGUUACAACAACACGCCUGAAUUACAUUAACGUGGGUUCCGGAGCAGGUUCUCCCGCAACUGUGAUCCUGAGUAUCCUCCCAUCUGCGCCAGAGUUCUUUGCUAUAGGGCAAUCCUUCUUGAAGUGCCCUAUCUCACUGAUUUGGUGGCAUGCCUGGCUAGUACUAGCAUUAGUGACGGUAUUGCGGUGCUUAGCCAGUGUUAUGUGGACACGAGUGCCUUCCUCAUACUCCACCUUGGAAAUUGCUUCCUAAACCGUUCAACUUUAUAGGUACUCUCAUGUGUAGGGUUAGUCCCGAUGAACGGGACUUGAGUGAUGGGUCGUGCCGGUGCUCCACAGCCACGAGCAUGGUGCCCUAUGUUUAGGCAAUUGCAACAUUGCAUCUCAUGGCAAGCCCCAUGAUGAUGGAAACUACAAUUAUCACACUUCAGGAGUUUUCCCUCAUAUGGACUGCUCGGUACGGGAAUGGCAGGGGUCUCCACAUGCUGCUGUUGCAUAGCCAGCCUUUGGGAUCUCUUGCGUUCUUUCGGGCUUGACGCUUUCGUUUCUUGUUCUCUGCUUUUCGUCUUUGCGAGCCUGUGCCUGUUAUUGUUUGACGACUUCCUGGAUGGAUACCACGAUUGGAAACUUCAUUCCCAUCAGCAGCAUUGACUGUGCUGAUAGCGUUAUGGUGCGCAAGGACUGCGGUUAUGCCAGCCACCAUGGAAGAUGUAACUGCUGUUUGAAAGGUAGCGGCGUCCAUAGGAAAGGCGGAGGUUUCGUCAUUCGACUGAUUGCUUCCGGAUGACGACAUGAUUCUGUAACACGAAAGAUAAGGAUUUUGUGAGCGAUUCUGGUUGACCCUUGAUGUACUUAGAUUGUUCAUGAAAAGAGUACGACUAUGUUCUCGAAAGUUUGACCUACAUCCCUAUGAUGUAGUCCUAGUACGGAAUGGAAGUAUGUUCACGAAGGUUUGACCUACAUCUCUAUGAUGCAGUCUUAGUACUGAGUGGAGGUGUGUUUAUGAAGGGUUGACCUACAUCCCCAUGAUGCAGUCCUAGUGAUGAGUGAAAGUAUGUUUGGACACUGGUCUCAAGACGUUUGUCGUUCAAGCCGAGGUAUCGAUGGUUGGCGAAUAACAGGAUCCAACCACUAAAAGAGACUUCGAAAUGUCUCCAGAGCUAAAUUACUAUAGUCCAAUGACUUGACUAGAACAGGUUUCAGAUAGACUCCAAUGAAAGUAUGAUGAGAGUAGUUGAAUAAAGGAAUGACACAAAAGUUAGCCGACUGUCAAUAUAUUUGAUAUUCACGACGUAAAGGUUCGGGAAAAUGACCUUGUAAAGGUCUUACGUCAUAUCUAGAGAAGAUAGUUCUUGACAAUGUAAAGACCUAACCAAAGUACUUACGGUACAAGAUAAUUUCAUAGAAAAUGCCACUUCGGGCAUAGACAGAAAAACAUUCCUUUUUAACAAGGAAAAUAAAGUAAAACAUUUAUUACUGGAAGGUAAUCCCUCUGGUGAACUCUUAGUUCAGCCAGUUGACGUUCUACAUCGAGUAGGUGUCUUUCGUACACCCUCUGUCAUACUCGGAGUUCUAUGACUUCGGCUCGGGAUUCGGCUAGUGCCUGUAGCAUGGUUUCAUGGUUUCUCUCAGAUCUCUCAUGAGCAUCUUCUAGACGAAUGGUGCGGAGGGUAUGCAUUCUCGCAUUGGCGACAACUUCAGUGAUCUGAUGUAGGGUUGUCGUGCCUUGAAUCUCAUUUCGGGCCACUCUGCGGACUAAGAUUGGCAAGAUUCUGUAUGUUGAGCCCCCAUUGCUCAGGUCGUAAAAGCUUCAGUCGCCAUUAAAUGGCAUGGGCUGAUCUUGUCCUUGGCUCCAUGUUUCCAAGCAUUCCACUCACUCAGGGGUCUGGCCAUGAUAAGUCGGAAGAGGGUUAGGAAUUGGAACGGGAGCUGCCUGGGGUAGGUUCUCAACCUCUAGUUCGGAAUUGGCACCGUCCGAAGGGUUUUCAUCAUGGUGAUCAUUCAAUGGGAUCGGAUGAUCAUUCUCUGGUUCUUCUCCAAACCAACCAGCAAUGACCUCACUCGGGAGGUACCGGUUGCCGUGGGGAUGGAGUCCAACCAUGUUAUUUAUGCGAGAAUUGGGGUAAGAAAAUAAUUAUUAGACGAAGUAUCUAGAUAAUUAUUUAGAAAACCUUCAUUAGUUACAUCGCUAUUUUUGAAGUGCAUACCAGUUAUAUGUAAUCGAAACAGGAUAGGCCUUCGAAUAAGUGACCUUAACUCCAUAUUCACACAGAAUAGGGGUGAAGUAAAAUUUUCACAGAUUCUAAGUCUAUAACAUCCUAAUUACAUAUAUCCUUAGUGUAUCCACUUAGCAACUAUCAACUUAGUAAUGAAGAUCUUGUUUUAGUUCUCAAGUAUAACGUACUUAUAGUAACACCAAAUACUCCUAUAGCAUUUUAAGUUUAAUGUUAUGUUCUACUGUUAUCAUUGUGGUAGGGUUGGUAAGAUUUUAGCAUUGUUGCAACCGUACAAUUAAACUUAGGCACACGCUAGUCAACCCUCGGAUAAUAUAAGUGAUCAGGCUAUAUCUUCCCAGUUUUGACCAUAAGUCUCUAAGCCCACUUGCGUUGCCCAACAAUCGUAAUUCUUUUGUACUGUCCUAGUGACACUGAUUUUAGUAUGAAUGCAGGAACGUAUACUUUACUUAAAUAUUUUAAUAUUUAAAGUAUAAACUCUUGGUCAGAGUAUUUUUAAUCCCUUAUGUAUUUAUAGCUAGUAUAUCUUUUAUGGGUUGAUAUACUUAAUUCACUAUAAACAAUGCUCUGAUACCAAUCUGUCACACCCCAAAACCAAGAACGGCGGAAACGUUCUGGGGCGGAGGACGUCAUGUACAGUAUCACAACAAUGAAAAGUAGUAAACAAGCAACAACAUCAUCCAUUGCAUUAAUAAUAUAAUUAUUAUACAAGUGUGUUCUGUCAAAUUUUGAUAAACACUAAAGCAUAAAUCAAAAUGAAAGAUGAGUCUUCAACGAGCUCCAUCUUCCCUAAUCCUUGCAUCGGUACCUGUCUAUGAUGACCUGAGGAUACAAGUAAUUUUGAAAGCGAGUAUCAGCUUUGAAGCUGGUGAGAUCAUAAGUAUUUUAGUGUCUUAAUUUGUAUGUAAGAAUUUGUAAGUUUAUGAACUGUAAGUAUGGAAAAUGUAUAUGAAUUGUAAGUAUUGAAAAUGUAUAUGAACUGUAAAUGUAAAAAUGUUUGUAAAACAACUGUAAACGUUUGAAAAACCCUAGAAAUCCCUAUGAUUCCUACUAUUAUAUAAGGGUGUCUUCUACCAAGACCUAACUGUUCUCAAUGUAGUCUUCUACCAAGACUUAACUGUUCUAAAUGUUCGUUUCUUGUAAAAGUGUGUAAUUUUCCCAAGUGUAACUAUCAUUUACAAAAUAUAGUUUUUACAUUUAAUGUUUAAGUGAAAUGAUCACUAAAUAUAUGAAAAGGGGAAAUUAAUGUAGUACUGUAGUGUUGUAUUAUAGGAACUACUGCUGUACUAACUACCUUAAACCGGAUUUAUAUUAAGGCAUCAUGUGAUUAAUUGUACCAUACUAUUGACUGGUAACAACGACAUAAGAAUGGUCGUAAAAAGGAAUGACGUUUGGCACCCGCAGACCUGCAGGUCCGGCUGUAGCUAGCAGCAAGGUGUAGGAUAGUCAAUCCAGUAUAGAUCUAUACGCAAACUCACGCUCUCCCUCCAAGAGAAUUCUGGCUACAACUCGGGCCAUGACAUUUAAGGCAUGCUCCGAUACAGUGGAUCACAAUUAUUAACGUAUUCAUGUAUAUGUAAUGUAAUGAACUGUUCUAGCUGUAAUGUACGUGCUCUCUACCUAGCAAGUAUAGUAAUGUACUCGUUCUAGUAUCGUUGUAUAUGUUCUCUUUCUAGUAUAGUUGUAUAUGUUCUCUCUCUAGUAUAGUUGUAUAUGUUCUUCUCUAGUAUAGUUGUAUAUGUUCCUCUCUAGUAUAGUUGUAUAUGUUCUUCUCUAGUAUAGUUGUAUAUGUUCUUCUCUAGUAUAGUUGUAUAUGUUCUUCUCUAGUAUAGUUGUAUAUGUUCUUCUAGUAGUAAGUAUUGACUCAUGAAUGAACUGACUCAUAGUAUGAUAUCGCGUUCUAGUAAUAGUUCUAGUAUCUUCCUAAACUACCCAUAUGGUAGUUUACUAGUAAUCUAACUGGUACGUAUGGACAUGGAUGUAUACCCUUGCUACCCAAGGGCAUGGGAUGAACUGGAAGGGCCUUUAUGACUAUAUAUGUACAUAUGUUAUAUAACUAAUAUUUAAAUGACCUUCGGACGAGUACCCGAUAUCCCACCAGACCACAUCUCAAGUGCGAAAAGGAAAUAGGGUGGAUAGCCUUCCUAAGUCUUUUAAACAUUUCUUAUAUAACUAUACAUAUAGAGGCAUGCAAUUUAUAAUAUAAAAGCAUAAAAUAAGUUUUGUAAAACCUUUGAACAUAAUUA